AUGGACCAUUCCAUCCCUUAUUCCCGUGGCUAUGCAUCGGAUUCGGAUGACGAAGGUCCCGAUGAACAAGUUGAUGAGGAGGGGUUCACGGUGAAGGAGGCCGAAGCUUUCGAGAAGGUAUUCGGUCGGGAUCAUCGGACUACAUUGUUCAAGGUUAGUCUCGCGGAUGAAGCCGUGGUAGAUGGUGGCCAAGGUAUAUCUCUUGGGGUUAGGCGCCAAGCUCUCACCGUGAUUUGGAAGACGACAAGAACUGGAUUGCUAAAGGGUCUAAGUUCGAAACCUUCUUGGAAUUGA
rnacentral:rRNA from 1 species